AGAAUAACGUUUACAGGACAUGCGGUUCUAUGCUGACAUAAAAGGAUAAAGCAGUGAUUUCAGGAGAGGGCAAUGUGAAAGAAAAGAGAGAAACAUUUGAUUAUAUUCUGACCUGGGUACAAACACAGGCAAUCAUUUGUGGCCAAAAGUUCAAGGAUGGAAAAACCAGAUAUGACUCCAGACCAUAUAAAACUAGAUCCACUGUAGUAAACAGAGAGUAUUUACAUAAUACCAAAUUGUAACUUGUGAAGUAAGGUACGUGAACAUCUGUAAGAAAAGAAAAUGAAGUGAUGCUCCUGGAAAUACAGUAGACAAGAAUUUAAUCAGUCUAGCUCCUUCCUCAGGGAGGAGUAAAAUGUGCAACCCAGACAGUCUUUUUUAUCUCACAUCACAAAGUAAAACCGCUUAGAAAGUAAAAGACAAAAU